rnacentral:lncRNA from 1 species
UGGCAUUCUGAUCUCGAUAGGGAUGACAGCUUUGGCUCUGAAGAUGAGAUUGAAUAUAGUUUCUUUAAUAAAUAUUCGAAACAUCAUUCAGUAGGCCCAUAGUAUAUCGUAAAGUUUCUUAGUCCAAAGCCCCUUUACUUGGUCGAGCCUAAACUUCAAACAUUAUAGGAUGGCAGUUAGUCACUUUGGCCUCCAUAUUGGAAUGCGGGUGACUGA